rnacentral:tRNA from 1 species
UCCCUAGUAGCUCAGAUGGUAAAGAAUCUGCCUGCAAUGCAGGAGACCCGGGUUUGAUCCCUGGGUUGGGAA